rfam:Triticum aestivum genome assembly, contig: Triticum_aestivum_CS42_TGACv1_scaffold_000279_1AL
AUUCUACUCCCUCCGUUGCACAAUACAUGCCUUCUAUUUGUCAAAAUAUAUAUGUAUCUAGACAUGUCUUACUUUAUAGGUACAUCCAUUUUUGGACAAAUGGAAGUCAAGUAUUUUGGAACGGAGGGAGUACAUA